UACAGAGGGUGCGAGCGUUGUUCGGAAUUAUUGGGCGUAAAGGGCGCGUAGGCGGUGCGGUAAGUCACCUGUGAAAUCUCCUGGCUCAACUGGGAGCCUGCAGGCGAAACUGCCGUGCUGGAGUGUGGGAGAGGUGCGUGGAAUUCCCGGUGUAGCGGUGAAAUGCGUAGAUAUCGGGGAGGAACACCUGUGGCGAAAGCGGCGCACUGGACCACAACUGACGCUGAGGCGCGAAAGCUAGGGGAGCAAACAGG
rnacentral:rRNA from 1 species